GAGGGUAUAGCUCAAGUGGUAGAGCUCAUGCUUAGCAUUCAUGAGGUCCUGGGUUCAAUCCCCAGUACCUCCA
rnacentral:tRNA from 1 species